AUGCGUGGCAUCCUACCUGACGAGAAGACAUUGCAUCAUAGACAUAUUCGAGAUGUCAGUUUAUGCAAACUCUGUCAAGCACAUGAAGAAGAUCUUGGACAUGCAUUAAUUCAUUGUUCGCAUGCUAGACAGUUCUGGGACGAAGCGCGUCCUGUUCUGGAUAUCAAGCUACCGCGACUGCAGCCCUCUUCAUGGGCUGGCGAUAUCUUAUGUGGGUCUAUGUUCACCGACAAGGAACGAGCAACUAUAAUCACCAUUAUGUGGUCCAUUUGGAGUUCCCGCAAUAGAUGGUCGCAUGAUGGAGAUAAGUUUGAUCCGGUGAAGUCCGUCAAACUCACUAGAGAGACUUUGGCUCUACUUGAUGUACCUAAGCAGCAAGCUGCAAUGCUACCGGGACAUGGCUGGCGGCCACCUGAACUGAAUCAAGUAAAAAUCAACACCGAUGCAGUUGUGCGAUUCGUGGAGCAGAAAAGUGGCGCCGGUGGUGUAGCCCACUCCCAAACAGCACUGAUGGGUGCUUGGUGCAAGCCCCAUCUGGGGGUCACUGAUCCUAUGAUCGCCGAGGCACUAGCCCUAUGGGAUGGAGUAAUCUUCGCCAACCUGAGAGGUUAUGCUAACGUGAUAAUGGAGACCGACAGUCUGGAGAUUGUGAAUCUCUGGAACACUCGACAUAACAGCCGCUCUGUUGUGGCACCAGUUUUCUUUGAAAUUGAUGAGCUAGCGGAUAAUUUCCACUUUUUUGUAAUCCAACAUGUUAGUAGAUCCGCAAACGGUCUAGCACACCUGUGUGCUCAGCGUGCAUGUAAUGUGUCUGUAACCGAGAGUUGGCUCUCUGAGACUUCAAGUUUCCUGAUAAGUAGUGGCUGA
rnacentral:rRNA from 1 species